GACGACGCUGGCGGCGUGCUUAACACAUGCAAGUCGAACGGUAAGGCCCCUUCGGGGGUACACGAGUGGCGAACGGGUGAGUAACACGUGGGUAAUCUGCCCUGCACUUCGGGGAUAAGCCUGGGAAAACUGGGUCUAAUACCGGAUAUGAGCUCCUGCCGCAUGGUGGGGGUUGGAAAGUUUUUCGGUGCAGGAUGAGCCCGCGGCCUAUCAGCUUGUUGGUGGGGUAAUGGCCUACCAAGCCUGCGAUCGGUAGCUGGUCUGAGAGGACGAUCAGCCACACUGGGACUGAGACACGGCCCAGACUCCUACGGGAGGCAGCAGUGGGGAAUCUUGCGCAAUGGACGAAAGUCUGACGCAGCCACGCCGCGUGAGUGAAGAAGGCCUUCGGGUUGUAAAGCUCUGUCGGGAGGGACAAAAACUUUAUGGGUUAAUAGCCCAUAGACUUGAUGGUACCUCCAAAGGAAGCACCGGCUAACCUUCGUG
rnacentral:rRNA from 1 species